UCUACCAUGGCCUAGUGGUAACGCUCACGACUUUGAUUCGUCACGGCGAGGGUUCGAGGCCCUCCACGUCUGAGGUUAGAA